rnacentral:lncRNA from 1 species
UUAGUGUGAUUUUCUUGUUCUGUAAUCGUUUCCUAAAAUUUGGAAGACAAAGUGCAAACGAACUAAAGGAAACAAACAAACACAUCAAUUGCUCUGAUUUGGCAAAAUGUAUAGCUGCAAGUCACAACACAACCAAGUGAAUUGCAAGACCAAUGGACAACCUAACAAUAUGCCCAAGCCUAACAGAUUCAGUAAGAGUGCACAAAAGAAGAGUGCCAUGUUCUGCCUAUUUCAGCUUCUAACAGUAACGAGCUACCUAGAGAAACAAUCUCAUGGCAGCCUGCCAAGUAGUAGGAUGGAUUUUUUUAAGAAGUUCUAGUCAUGAAACAGCACACAAGGUAAGGUAGCUCAUCCUACCCACUCCAGACUCAGCACAAGUGAUGAUAUUCCAUGCAAGACCACUAAACAAACAGAAAGAAAAACAAACGGAGCAAGCAAGCAGAUGGAAAGCAGCAAAUUAGAUGGUUUGAUAGUAAAGGUUCAACAGCAGCAUCCUAACAGGAUUCAAAGGUUCUGAGGCACCAAGUGCGGCAACCAGCUUAGGAACACAACAUACCAGGAGUCCCAACAGGCCAUCACAGGCCACUACCACAUACUACUAGUACUAGAUAACCAAGCGCAUAACCAAAAGUUGGAA